UCCCUCUGCUAUGGCUCUUCCUCAGUAGAAACAACUGGCAACAAAAUUCAAGUUUAUGAUUCAUUCAUCAGCAAACAUGUGAGAAUCAUCUACAAAGAACCAAGAAUUGUGAGAAAGCGACCUCAAGAUACAACUGGCAACUGAGGAAAAGGCCUCAAUUCAACAAGAGCUAACAAGCUUGGGAGUUUAUUUCGGAAUCUUUAAAAGACUCUUCUGCUUACCCACAAUCUGGGAUCCACUGCAGGAAAACAAAAAAGGAAAACUUCAUUUAAAAGAAGCAAGAAGUAAAAUGGGACAAAUUGGGAAUGUUUAAGUCUCUGAAACUCUGCACUGAAAAGAAAAUAAGAUUGAUAACUUAAGCUUAACAUUCUGAGGCAUAAAGAAACAUUAACUUUGGAGUAUUCAUCUUGACUACUGAAAUACAAGUUUAGAAGACAAGUGGUUUCAUUCUGGUCACAGAUCACAGCUUUUCUUUAAAUUUAUAAUCCUAUGGGUUGGACUCGUUGACUGUAUUUUUUAAAGGUUGCUCGUCAGUUAACUGAGCCUUGGAAUUCAUGGAUUUUCUAAAGACUAACAAAUGAAAAUAUUUUCCUGUUGAAGAACCCAGCGGAAAUUUUACAGCAACAAAUUUCAUGUUUCUUUUGGGUAUUUCUGAGAAAAAGGAAAUAUUUAUAAAACCAUCCAAAGAUCCAGAUAAUUUGCAAAUAAAUUGGAGGUUAUAGAGGUUAUAAUCUGAAUCCCAAAGGAGACUGCAGCUGAUGAAAGUGCUUCCAAACUGAAAAUUGGACGUGCCUUUACGAUGGUGAAAACUCCAAAGCUUAACAUUCUAACCACUCUAGGGAGGGAGGAUGGGAGGAAGAGAGCUGAGUGUGCACCAAGGAGCGGUAAGAUGCCAGACCUGUGAGUGAAGAAGCAUCUUGGAAGUGGACCCUAUAGCUCCAGGCACCUGCUGACACAUAGUCGGAGACAAACCACCCAGUCAAGUUCAACCCAAAUUCCUGACCCAAAAAAUCAUAAGCAAAAUAAAAU
rnacentral:lncRNA from 10 species